UACAGAGGGGGCAAGCGUUAUUCGGAAUUAUUGGGCGUAAAGGGCGCGUAGGCGGGUCGUUUAGUUAGAGGUGAAAGCCCAGGGCUCAACCCUGGAAUUGCCUUUAAUACUGGCGGCCUUGAGUAUGGCAGAGGUGUGUGGAACUCCGAGUGUAGAGGUGAAAUUCGUAGAUAUUGGGAAGAACACCGGUGGCGAAGGCGGCUCACUGGCUCAUAUCUGACGCUCAGGCGCGACAGCGUGGGGAUCAAACAGG
rnacentral:rRNA from 1 species